GACGAACGCUGGCGGCGUGCUUAACACAUGCAAGUCGUACGGUAAGGCCCUUUCGGGGGUCCACGAGUGGCGAACGGGUGAGUAACACGUGAGUAACCUGCCCACAACUUUGGGAUAACGCUAGGAAACUGGUGCUAAUACUGGAUAUGUGCUCCUGCUGCAUGGUGGGGGUUGGAAAGCUCCGGCGGUUGUGGAUGGACUCGCGGCCUAUCAGCUUGUUGGUGGGGUAGUGGCCUACCAAGGCGGCGACGGGUAGCCGGCCUGAGAGGGUGACCGGCCACAUUGGGACUGAGAUACGGCCCAGACUCCUACGGGAGGCAGAAGUGGGGAAUAUUGCACAAUGGGCGCAAGCCUGAUGCAGCAACGCCGCGUGCGGGAUGACGGCCUUCGGGUUGUAAACCGCUUUCAGCAGGGACGAAGCUUUUUGUGACGGUACCUGCAGAAGAAGCACCGGCUAACUACGUG
rnacentral:rRNA from 1 species